UCGCAGCUAAAGCACUAAGGCUACACAAUAAAAACCGUGACACAACCUUAAGGGAGCUGGGACAGCAAGGCUCAGUCUCCCACUCCUUUUUGUCUUCCUAUUUUGAGUGCUACCCUGGGGGAUGUUUUCUUUCCCGUCCAAAGGACAAAGGUCAAGGAGUCAGCCAUGCCAUGCCCUAGCCUCAGAGAACAAGGUCAGCAGGUGACUCCUUCAAAAGAAACUACUUGGCAACACCCCUGACUGUUUCCCCUGGCAUUUUGGUCUGCCUUCUCUUUCUGCCAUUGUUCCCGGAAUAGCAGUAUCUGCACCUGUGUAUCCUCAGUCACUGCCCAAUCUCAAGACACAUUUGCAAAACUGUAUUGUCCUCUCCCAGUCACACAAGUUGCUCUCAGAAUAUUGCACGUGACUUGUGGUCUUUAUUUAUUUAUUUAUUUAUUUUUUUCCUAUUUGGCACUUUUUUUUUCCAGUUCCAAGCAUGUGCCCACCCCUGUGCUGAGUGCCUCCUGCCCAAGGAAGCUUGUAGUUUAUUUAAGAUCUGUGCACUUAAGAACAAAUAAUAAAUAACACAUUGGGAACAUAUCUUGAGUGGAGCAGCGUGGGGGACAGUGAAGAAUUCUGCAGCUCCUUCCAGUCAACUGCACUCAAGGCAGGCAGAGUGAGGGUUGGAGCUUCAAGGAGUGACACCAAUGGAAUAAAAUAUUGGGGGGCUGAGAGAUGGGAGAGAAAGGUAAAAGGGACCUUUACGACUUCUAAAUAGUUAUGUGAAUUAUAGGGAGCUGUUCUCAGAAGGCUGCGUUCUCAGAAGGCUGUGUGCUGAAGAACUGAGGCCAGUGAUUUACGAAAUCCUCAGAGCUACACUUUGCAUUCUAUUCCAUCGUCCUCCCUUUGAGCACCGUCAGCACCGGAGAUGAAUGCCUUGUUGGGCCUGACCCCGUGGUGCAAGCCUGUGAUUCAAGCUACUAAAGAGGCUGAACCAAGAAAAUCAAAAUGUUAAGGUCUGCCCGAGCUACAGAGGGAGUUCAGGGCCCACCUGUGUGGUGAGACCCUUUCUAAGAACUUCUGAAAAGCGAGAGAGCGCUGAGAGGACAGCUCCGGAGUAGAGCUCUUGCCCAGCACCCCCAGGAUCCCAGGUCAACCCCUCGGCAGCACUAAAUGAAUUCAUUUUACUUAGGAAAACACAUAAGACUCCUGGCCAUUUUAACUCAUAAGAUCAUCAGCUAAGGACUACCCAUCACAGAAGAUCUUCGUCCUUAGAGACUUGUGUUCUUUUGUUUUUGUUUUGUUUUUGCUUUUUUUUUUAUUUUGAAGUUCAACCAUUGUAUACGAAAUACAGCAUUAGAACUAAGAGUCAUUCCUGGCACUGUUCAUCUCAGAAAGCCUGUUACAAAUUAACAAAUGAGGAUAACUAUGAUUCAGGGAUGUAAGUAGUAUACACGAUAGUGCUCCCUUCACAGAUAAGGGGAAAAGCAACCACCAUCUCUUCCAUGGCAUCUACUCCAGAGAAAGGUGGGGGUUGGGGUAAUUACGUCUACAAUGAAAUGGAGGAAACUUUUAGCUUUCAACACUGCUGUGACUAGUGUGCCUUUAAACUGCAGAGUCAACUUGUCUUGGACCUGCUGUGUUGUAUCCACUCACUGUUAGGUAACCUUGAGCAUCAGGCAUAGACAGGUCCUGAUGAUUUAGGACCAUCUAUGGACCUUGCCUCUCAGUGUCUCUGGCUGUCAGACUCCUCACAGAUGAAAUCUGCAGAAUGGUUUCACUCCUACCAUCACGGGCUCAUAUGAGGUAAAGGAUAUGAAUGUUUAAAGACCCAGAUGACUCCGUCUCUAAUGUCCGAGGCACCCCUACUCUGAUUAUCCACCGCCAGCUCAUGAAAAGACAGAGGGAAACAUUGUGAACUGACUAAAACAAACAGUUCAUGGCCAGCAUAUCGGAGGAAUUGGUUUUAUGAAUUUCAAGACUAAGGAAGCUUUAAGGGGAAAGACAGCAAAGAGCUUGUGCUCUAGCUCAUCAAAGAAAAUAGCCCCACAUUCCUGUGAACCACACUUCUGACUGGCUUAUGCGAUAACUGUCCCCGUGUGCUUUAUUUCUUGACUAAGAAAGAUUUUUCUGUUCAUACAUGUUAGUUCAGCCUCCCUGCCCUUCCUCCUGCCUGGAAUAUGAAGGUGAGAGAGCAGAUAUUUGACCACAGGGGCACGUGGAUGUGGAUGAAGAGCCGGCAUUCCAGGUAUGGCACAGCAACAUGGCAGAAGUCGACAGGAGUGAACGACUCAGCCAGUCCUGAAGCCUGUGCCUGAGGCAUGAUAGGUGAUGUGUCUACAAACCGUGCUGGUCAUUCUCUGUUACCAGCUGGUAACACAGAAACUGAUUAAUGGGGAAACACCUCCACUUAGGUUAUCUCCACUCUAAAUCUGAACAAAACUGUGAGCAUCUUUCCACUAUUUUAAAGUAAGUUGCUAUUAUUUCCCUGACUAUUAAUGCAAUUAAUGUGUCUUGUGAAAUAUCUGGAAAGGGGAAGUAUAAACUCACCUAUAAUCUCACUGGCUGGAGAUAAUGACCAAUAACAUGUUAUAGCACAUGCUUCUGCACAGAAGCACUCACAUCUUAUUUUAAAAAUUAAAAAUUAAUAUUUGUUUUAAUAUCUUUCUGUUUUUCAAUAUAAUACUUCUUCUGUAUUAAGAUGUUGCCAGGGAAGGGAAAGGGGAUGGCAGUGGGGGGAGGGGAGAGGGGAACAUGAUCUAGUAUUAGGUGGGGGAAAAGGACUGAAGCCCUAGGGGCCAGCAGAAAGGAUGGAAACAGGCGACCUUGGGAGGAAGGAAGUUGGGAGGACCCUCCAGAAUGUACCAGAGGCCUGGGACGUGAGAGACUCUCAGGACUCAAAGGGGGGGGGGAUCCUAGAUGAUUGCCCUACAGUGGGGAGAGGGGAUGUGUAGAGCCCACCUCCAGCAGAAAGACAGGGCAUCAAGUGAGGGAUGGGGUUGCCAUCCCACAGCCAAAACUCGGACCCUUAAUUGUUCCUGUCUGAAAGAACUACAGGAUGGAAAUGGAGAAGAGCCUCAGGAAAAGGAGGUCCAGUGACAGGCCCAAAAUGGGAUCCAGCUCAAGGGGAGGUCCCACAACCUAACACCAUUACUGAGGCUAUAGGACGCUCACAAAAAGGACCUAUCAUGACUGCUCUCCAAAAGACCCAACAAGCAGCUGAAAGAGUCAGAUGCAAAUAUGGACACCCAACCAAUGAACAGAAACUGCUGACCCCUCUGUUGAAGUAAGGAAAGCUGGAGGAAGCUGAGAAGGAAGGCAGCCCUGUAGGAGGACCAGCAGUCUCAAUUAACCUGGACCCCCCCAAGAUCUCUCAGGUACUGGAUCACCAACCAGGCAGCAUACAGCAGCUGAGAUGAGGCCUCAAACACAUAUUUAGCAGAGGACUGCCCAUCUGUGUUCAAUCACAGAAGAUGCAGAGACUGGAGGCCCCAGGAAGGUUAGAGGUCUGGUGGGGUGGGGAGUGGUGACAUCCUCGUGGAGAAGUGGGGGGAGGAGAUAUGGGAUGGGGAACAGUUGGAGGGUAGACCAGGAAGGGAGUAAAAUCUGGAGUGUAAAAGUUGAUUAAAAAAAUAAAAAAAAAGACAUUUGCCUAUAGUGUUAUUUUAAUGGCUAUAUGGCAUAUAACAUUAUAUGGAAACAUUAGUAUUUAUUACUCUCUUCACUAUGGGUCUCUUACAGAUUAUCUCCAAAUUUUCAAUGUUUGAAACCCCAAAGUUACUCAUAUAUAUAUAUAUAUAUAUAUAUAUAUAUAUAUAUAUAUAUACACAUGGUGCACAAGCAUGUGAACAAAUGUUCAUCACAUGAAAAAAUAAAACACAGUUUAAAGCAGCAUGUUGUGGCACUACUUGAGUUGUGACACAUACAAAAUUGCACAGGCCUACUACCCAUUACAGUAUGCCAUAUACCCAGAACCUUCUUAAAUCAAUACGCCAAUACAAAUUCCAUCAAUGAACUCAGCAAUCAGAAAAAAAAGGUAAUAAAAAACCUUCCAUGUACAAAAUGUCUAAUGGAUCACCCAGCUAAGCAUGACACAUAGGCUGGAAACAGAAGAUGUUAGCAUAGGCCACAGCAUAGAAUCUGCUGUCAAAUCAGAGCCUUGGGGAGAAGCCGAUGGUAGGCUCUCCCUGGCUGGCUGGGCCUUUUGUACCACCAAAUAGUAUUUCACAGCUUGGCCCCAGGACCGGUUUCUGUAGGACAGUUCCCAAGAACUAUCUUAGAAAGCCAGACAAGGGUUUUAAGUACUGUGAGAUAGGAGUGUUCGGGAAAUAUGACAUCUGCCUUCACAGACUUUGGUGACACAAGAGACUCUAAUGGGCAGGUAUUGGUGGUGCACUUACACAGGGUGACCAGCUUUCUAGUUACCCACUUCGCUCCUUUUACCCCUCGGUGCUUUUAUCAUCAUAAUUAGAUCUUGAUAUGAUCUGUGUAUUCCACAGAGUCACUUUAAAACUUAGCCGUCCCCCUUUGCACCUGUUAGUCACUCAAUGCUAGAGUUUAAGAUUUUGUCCUUUUGUGAUGAAAUGGAGCGUACAGUUCUCUUGAUUUUUAGCCCAUCUAAAAUGAAAGAGAAUAAGCUGUCAGCAAGAGGAGGUAAUUUAGCCAGAAUUCCUGUGCUCUGUACUUGAGCUAUGAACGGUCUUCGUAAGGGCCUUGUGCACUUUUAAACUUUAAUAACUCUGGUGGUGCGUGUAAGAGAAACAAUCUGUAAAUGGUACUCAAAAGUAAAUGUAUUAAAUUUUAGGACAACUACAUUACACAAUUGCACACAAUAUGUACUCAUUUCAGCUCCUGUGACAAAUGAAAUAUGGCCAGCAGAAUUGAAGUUCACAACAGCUCUAAGAAGAAAAUUGAAUUUGCCUUUAAAUUCCAUUUACAGUUUACUAUCUUGUCCACCUCGUAUGCUUUUGAGGUUAAGUUUGGAAAUGGCAUAGACUUUAUAAAGAUCCCGUACUUGAAUUCAAUGAUAAGUAUAGCUAGAGAGAACAUCAUAUCAUCUCUUAGCAAAAAUAAUAUACCUGCUUACUUUGGCUGCUUUUAAAACAGCUUCAGAGAUAGAAGGAAUCGUGAGUCUCCACAGUUGGUACAACGUAGUAAACAGGAAUGAGACGGAGUGUCUGAAGCAGGAGACUAGCUCUCAGUGAGGGCAAUAGCUUGCUGAGGGAUUGAGGAAGCUAAGAUUUCUUCCAUCUUUUUAAGUUUUUUGUUUUUGUUUUUAACCCUAUGGGGCCACCAACUGAAGAUGAAAUAGAGUUUAUAAGUGUGACCGUAGACAAACAAAAAAGGAAUUGUAUAUACUCCCCCAUGUAAUCUUGUAUAUCACAAGGACAAAUCACGAGAAAAAACAAACACAAAACAAAUCUAAAUAAAGCAGUAGUCUUUUCUACCUUUUUUAAAACAGGAGGUUGCAAAAUCAAAGACCCCAAGUCUACCAAAAAAAAAAAAAUUCGGGUGUGUGCAGUUGGGAAGGAGAACAGGAGGACAGGAAUGAGAGACCACUCUUCAAGUCCUUGCUGAAUACACAGAGCCAGGAAGAAUUAUGCAAGCCGUAGAUUGCUUUGGCUGGUCUCUGUGUGCUUUGCAAAGUGAUUCAUUUCCUGUAUUUGGUCAAGAUAGGGGAGAGUCGGGCACACACAAAUGUGAUGUAGCUUUUGAUCAGCGACGUUUAUCAGCUAAGUGGGUAAGAUUUCAUGAUAGGUAUGGAGAGCAUUUUAGUGCUUAAGAUCUAGGCUGACCGGAGAGAAUGCUGGGUUCCAAAGGUGUCCACGUGUCGAGCUCCCACUUCGGGAAUCUUUUCUCUUCCUUACUGCUUUCCCAGAGAGAUGCUUAGUGUUCCGCUCAGUCACCCCUCCUCAUAAAGGAAUCUGAAAAACAUCUUUCUGCAAUGAGCAUUGCUUUUAGAGCCACCAGUGGCAUUUCGUUUUAACACAAGAGAAGCUUAAGAACUAACCCUCUAAUUGAAUGAUUUUAGGCAACUCUAGGUAGAGUUGGAGGAGAAUUUAGGGGAAGUGAAUUCAAAAGGUCAGGAGGGUUCGUGAAGCCAAGCAUUCUGUCCUGGGGGAGUCCUCUUCUCAGUGGAUAGCACACUCAGUAGCUAGCCUUCACCUAAUGCCAGUCAAGGGUCACAGGCAGGAUUUUGGAGGCAGCCUGGAAAUGUGGGAAUGCAAAUGUUUAAGUGACUGAUGCACUUUCUUUUUAAAGAAUAGGAAUGCAAAUGACUCCUAAGGUUUUCUCAGCAGUACAAGCAAGGCAGUGGCUACUGGAAAACUUGCAGAAGCAGUAAAUAUCUUAAUUGCUACAAUCACCAAACCUGGCCUCUUAAUCCAGGGCUCAAAUAUGAGGGGCCCUUUACUCAAAAAAUAGAGGAGUUCCUACAUUAGACAAUCUUUGCAUCUUCAAAGGCACAAAGAAGAAAAAAAACCCUCAUCUGUGUUGGUACUAGUUUUGAAAUGUUUUGUUAAAGUCUCGGGACUUUAUUAAUAUAUUGAAAUAUAUUAAUGUCUCCAUCCCAUUACGAAGCUCUUCAUUAUCAGAUUGUAACAGUGUGAUGUGCUCAUUGAACUAUUAUCUGAUUUGAACAAUCACUCAAAGCUCUCACGGUUGGCUUACCUUGUACGAAAUUGUGUCGAGCCCCUUUGUGAAUGGUAAAGACACCAGGAUGUCUUAAACCAAAGCCCCAGUCAAAAGCAGCAUGGAUCCCAAAAUGCCAGAUCCCAAGUUCUUCAUGCCGUCAUCUGGGAGAAGAAUGUUAAUGCAUAUGUCACCAGCAGAAAUAUUUACAGGCUGCUCAGGAAAUUUACUGAAACUUUUAAAAGCAUUAUACAUUUAGCCCACUAAUUAGAUUUUCUUUCUUUCUUUCUUUCUUUCUUUCUUUCUUUCUUUCUUUCUUUCUUUCUUUCUUUCUUCCUUCCUUCCUUCCUUCCUUCCUUCCUUUCUUCUUUCUUUCUUUCUUUCUUUCUUUCUUUCUCUCUCUCUUUCCUUCUUCCUUCCUUCCUUCCUUCCUUCCUUCCCUCCUCCUCCUGCUCCUCCUCCUCCUCCUCCUUUGCCAGCUUUAUGGGUUUGACUGGAACUUAUUUGAAUAGAAAUCUGGGAAAUUUUGUCCUCGCUGUGUUAUACCCAAAAUGCUGGAGUCAGCAAUUCUAACCCUCGCUUUCCCACUGAAUCCCCAAACUCCAGUUUCCUCCUCCGUUAUGAGUAAAAUUAAGACAAAAACAGAGACUAAUGAGUGUCACUGAAGAUAAAUUCCUAAUUGGCAGGGGAAAAAAAAGCCUACAAAAUACAUUCACGUGCAUAGGGAGUACCAUAGUCAUGAAUGAGAGACUCGCACAGAGCAGGAAUGAAAGGAACUGACUUCUCCAUUGCUUUGGGCAUCACCAUUCUUCUGUCGUCAACACUGGGUUCAGGUGGAAUCCAGGAAAAUGCUCUUCAUCUAUCUCAGCAUCUAUGGGGCCACCACAUUUGGGAGAAGGAACACUGGUCCUCACCAACUUUUCUGCCUUCAUUGUGUCUGGAAAAGACUGUGUCAGCCCUACUGUGUCCCCAGCUGUCAGAGUAUUUAAAGAGGGUAAUCUCCACAAUUCUUGUUCCAUGACUCUUAUGACACAGUGAGAUGUUAGAGAAAUGAUUUGGUGUCAACAAUGACUUUUAUACAUUGAAUUAGGCUGUGCAUAAGCUGGUGUGGAAAAUUUUGGGUUAGUGUAUAUUCAGAGUAUUUUGGAAUUUGGAGCAGAUUUUAUAACACAGGAGGUACUAUAUAAACCCCAAUACCUGAUUUAAAAAUCUCCUCUCUGUGGUCUUUGAGUUUGAAUAGAGGUAUUUGUCAGAAACAUUCCGACUCCCUAGCAUGCAUAGUCCAUCUAUGAUCCAAGUUAAAAAUCAGUCUCCUUGAAAUUAUUUUUAAAAUCUUGCAGGACAGAGCACAUUUUUAUUAGAAUAAUAUCCAUUCACAUUUAUUGGAGAAAGCUUAGAAAAUAUAAAAGUGAAAAUAAAACAUACAUUAUAGCAGCACUCCAAGACAAAUGGGGUUUUUUGUUUGAUAUUCUCUCACAUGGUGUCUACAAACUAUUAUAUUAAAUAUUCUAUAUUUUAUCCCAAUUUUCAAAAUUGUUUUCAGGGAAUCUGAAAGAAUAUCUUUAAAAGUAGCUUCCCAAAUAGAUUAUUUUUAAAUCCUACAAUAAUGUUGAAUUUUAUGGUAAACAGCCAUGUAUGCACCACAUAAAACAGUGGUUCUCAACCUCUCUGAUGCUGUGACCUUUAAUACAGUUCCUCCUGUUGCGAUGACCCCCAACCAUGAAAUUAUUUUUGUUGCUACUUCAUAAGUCUAGUCUUGCUUCUGUAUGAAUCAUAUAAAUAUCUGGGUUUUCUGAGGAUCCCAGGUGACCCCUGUGAAAGGGUCACUCAGCCCCAAAGAGACUGUGACCCACAGGUUGAGAGCCACUGCCUUAGCCUCUACCAUUACUGCCUGACUGUGUUUCCAAACUUCCGUGAAUAACCAGUCAGUUCUCGUCUCUCCAGCCAUUUAUUAAUCAAGUUUCUCUUUCAUGCAUUUCAAACUGCAAAUGCCACUUCAUUCUAAAUAUUUGAGUGUUCAUUGUUUUAACUGGAGUUCAAUAUUAACAUAUGCUCUUCAGGCAAGAUUUACAUAUAACAAAUUGUGAAAUUCUUAUGAAUGUACACUCUUUUUCUAAUGUAUUUCUGACAUUCCUAUAAAGAUUAGAACAUUAGCAGCAAGACCAGAAAGCACUAGUGUCGCUUUCAACAGGGUCCUGCCUGGCCUUGAACUUGGUAUCCUGGGGCCACAAAGGUGUACUACUCUGUAUAAAGCUUCUUUGUUUUAGCGUAGUGCUUUUGAGAUGUGUCAUUUCACUUGUGCAUUGCUUGCUCUUUCUUACUGCUUGUUUCUAUUGUGCUUCAUAAGACAACAAUGUAUCCAUUUUCUUUGAAUAGAGUGGCUAUGCACAUUCUUAUACAAGUUACUUUGUGAGCAUAAAGCUUAUUUCUCUCAGAUAAUGCCUUUAGCCCAGAAGUCCUAGAUCUGAGAUAGGUGGUGUAUGUUUUUAAGAAGCAGCCAGGGGGCUGGGGAUUAAGCUCAGUGGUAGAGCGCUUACCUAGGAAGCGCAAGGCCCUGGGUUCGGUCCCCAGCUCCGAAAAAAAGAACCAAAAAAAAAAAAAAAAAAAAAAAAAGAAGCAGCCAGGCUUCCUUCAAACUGGUUCUGCCAUUUUGUAUUUAUAACCCCACGGGUAGAAGUUCCAGUCAUUGAGCAUCAAGACAUCUUAUGAUGAUUUCUUCCAUUGCUUCAAUAUUUGAAUAUUUGAAUAUUGUUGUUUCCUGGUUCUAAGAUCAGAAAAUACUCUCUUUGAUCUUCUUAUAGAUUUUUUUUUUGCUCAACACAUUUUCAGGACUGUAUCAUAAAAUAUCCAAAAACACUUUUGUCUCCAUUAUUCCUGUCAUAACUCACUUUAUGAGUCAUCUAAUCAAUGAUGUUUGUCUAGAAUCUUCUGCAAUAAAGCACAUUACUUGAAUAUGAUUGGGUAAAACUUUAUCCUAAGGUGUGGCUACUCAGAAUGACAAAUAACAAACGUGUUAGCUCCAUUCCUGAGGAGAGACUGGCUGAGUGGUGUGAAUUCAGGUCCCCUACAGGGUGAUAAAGAGGUCACCUUGUGCUGUAAGGCGUUUGAGGCUUGAGGGGCUUCGAGCUUCCACAUGGGUUCCCCAGAGUCAGCAGCCAUAUAUUGAAGGCCAUCAUAGAUGGUCAGUGGUGUUACUACUUGACUUGUCAGACCCUUAUCUUUAAUAAACAUUUCUACAAAAUUUUCAUGGCUUAACUUAAAAGGGACACUUUGCAUCAUAUAAAGUAUUUGAUUGCCAGACUCCCAGCUAUAGUUAUUUCUGGCAGGUUAGGUCAUUUUGCCUCAUUCUUUUGACAGAAUCUCACUUUACUUCACCAACGUGCUCAUGUGGGAAACAGCAUCCAUCUAUUUUCAACUGUCAGACCAUUUUUAUACUUUCAAAAUAUGACAUACCUAAUUAAAUAUUUUUAAGUAGACUACUGACUGAUUUGUUGGAUAUUAUAAUCUAAAAUUUUGUUCAAUAUUUUUAUGCCACAUAUUUUGUCUUACGCAUGUCUUUUAAAUUACAUGUAAUUAAAACUUGAUACUGGACCCAGAAUAUAAUGCAGUCCAUAAAACUUUGUGUUACUUUUGGCUUUAGAUCCAGAAUUGUGUUGAACUUGUUUUUCCAAAGGUGUUUUAUAUAUCUUAUAUAUUUCAGAUGUUACAUUUCCAUCGAUCACUUAGACUCGAUCUGUUUGAAUGAAUUGAAUGUGUAUGGCUGAUCUUCUAAUGCCGCAGUGUCUAAUCUUGGUUCAUGUUUUUAGUUAGAGCAUACCUUCAAGUUUGUUUUCCAGGAAGGAUGGUUUAUGAUAGCAACCAGCAGUGUGCACAGUGGUCUCUGGAUCCAGGAGCCUCAUAGCUUGGGACCUCACUUGGGAUCUGGACAGAGGGGUCAGAAGUUAAGAGCACUUACUGCUCUUGCAGUGGACCAGGGUUCAAUCCCCAGUACUCACAGAGGGGUUCCUAAGCAUCUGUCAUUGUAGUUCACAAGAAUCGGAAGCACUCUUAUGACUUCCCUAAGCACUAGGCACACAUGCGGUGCACAGCCAUACAUGCAGGUAAAACAUCCACACAUAUAUAAUAAAAAUAAAAUAAUCCCAGGGCUCUCUCUUAUCAACAGAUGAUGGCCAGUAGGUGAGGUUUGGCAAAAUAUGAUUUGUCUUCCGGUGAAAGAGAUGUGACAUCAUGUUAUCCGGGGUGCCUCACUCACUGCCCUGUGUCCUCCUUUUUCUCUGCUCUCCUUACCCAAGCUGAGCUUGCGCUUUCCCACUGAGGAGGCCCUUGCCCCCUUUGUCUCUUUCGGUCAUUACUUUCAACAUUCAAAUAUUUUAUCUUUCUUCUCCCCCGCCAGCCCCUGCUCCCGGCCCGUUGAAGGUAACUGUAUAAGUGUUUAAAAGGAAAGCUCCAGAGGCCGGUGAGCUUCAACCUUUGGGCGAGGCACAGAGGAAAAAAUGGAAAAGAGAAGGAAAGGAAGCCACGCUAUGUGAGGCACCAGUAUGUGGUGCCACCACAGCAGCACGAAGCUUGUGAGAGUGGGAGUAGAACUUUAGGAAAGAAGUGGGAAACCAAAAUAUUAGAACAAGCAUACUUUGGUUCUGGCCAUCACCCCAAAGAAAAAGUCAAAAGAAGAAAAUCAGAGAAGUUGCAGUUUUUCCCUUGGAGGUGGCAAACUUUACACACUUCCUGACACGUUGAAGGGACACUAGCCCAUGGGAGCACAUGGCUCUGGAAGCUCUUGCCCUUUUCCCCAAUUCCCUCUAGCUUGCUAAAAACCAUUAGAUUACAGAUUACAUUCCUAACGCUAAGGUCUAUUCCCUUUAUCUCUCUCCCUUGCCCACUUUCUCCACUCUUCCUUCCCCAUCAUCCUCUCUCUCCUGGCUUUGUCAGUCACUACCCUCUGUCCCUCUGGGGCAAAUAAAUCUCCUAUUGCUAAAAACUUGGUCUUGGGGUGUCGUGAGGCAACCCUGGGAGGUCUCCUGCAAUGGUGGCUUGUGGGUAAGUGUGACAAUGGAGUGGGAAUUCUGGGAAGGAAAAUAACAGUAUCUCUUUUAAGGAAUAAUUUUAUUUCUUUGGCAUGGGUGAACCCACCUUCCUAGGGGUGGCACAUCCUUCUUGAUGGGUCACCUGCACUGACCAGGUGAUUGACCUGCCCACCUGGAACGUCAGGUCUCCACCCAAGCCAGAGCUCUAUUGUUUUGAUCAGAAGGAGUUUUCCCUUAUUGGCCUUUAUUGAAACUCUAACAUUAUCCCCUCAAGGGUAACCCUAUAAUCAUUUGAGAACAGAUGAUUGACCAGAGUCCCCAGAUACUUUGAGCAUCUCUGGCUUCUGGCUAGGAUGAAGCUGCCAAGGGCACCAAGGACAUUUCUGGCUUUCAGCCAGCAAAGAAGCUGAUUAUCUUUCUUUUUCCCUGUUUUCCACCCAAACUGCCCAGCCUUUGCCCCUUUACCUCCUGCUCUUGUCAUUUCCCCCUGUGAAGAAGUGACCCUAACUGACAUUACAGAAUUAGGACAAUGACUGAUCUGACUUCCUCCAGCCAAAUGGGGACACUGACCGUGGCAGUUGGAAGACCUUCCCGUGGGCUUAUCUAAAAGACUGUCUAAUGUAGGUGGAGAGGAAGUCCUUGACCUAUGCUGAAAAGAAACGUUAAGAGAUCCCUUAAGGGACAGUCACAGCCUUGCAUAGUCCUAGGUAGGGAACCAAGAGAAGUCAGAACAGACAACAUUUGUUAGUUAUCAAAAUCAAAGUCCACUAGCAUCUAUUUUGCCCACCUUUUAAACUAAACAUCAUUGCUGCUAGGCACACUGCUGGGUCUGGCAUGGCCUUGGUGGGGACAGAAAGACAAGAGUUCCUGCCCCUGGGACAGGGCCAGAGAAUGUGGGCCUCAAUGACUGUUGUUGGCUGCCGCGGGCAUAAGGCUUGUUUGUAUAAUAAUGUGCAUAUGUUUACAUUCUUCCAAGGAAUGUCCUCUCUGUUCACUUUAAUGACUCCAUGAUAAUCAAACAGCACAUAGUCCAAAAGGUGUGGCUAAUGCCCUUAGCAAAAUGGUAAACACUGGGACCUUAAGGACAGCCCUUAAGGCGGUAGAAAAAGAACUCUAAAAUGUGAGUUUGAAAAUAUAUAAUUUCUCAACUAUGCAAAAAAGAGGGUUCCAAUAUUAAUUAUGAGGUGCUUCAUGAAUCUAAAGGAGCAAAGGCAGCUGCACUAUGAGCCAGCAUGUUAGAAAGAUACAAAGGCAGUCAGAUUCCCGAGUUCAAGGUCAGCCUGGGACACAGCACGGUUAGGCCCAGCCACGGUAGAAAUGGUAAUUUCAGGAUUGGGUAGGGGAUUCGAUGCAGGUAGUUUAUUAUCUGUGCCUCAAAGAGGCCCGCAGAUCUCUGAAUAAGAAUCUCUGUGUACCGAGUGCUGAUUCAUAGGACAAUCAAAAGGAAACCUAAAGUAAAUGACUGGAUUGAUAUGUAAAAUCAAAGAUUGGCCUUACUAUCUGCAGGAGAAGAGCUAUCCAGAAAGGUUUUAGAAUAGCAAGAGAGAAGCGCUCAGAGAACUAUCCUGAGCAGAGCGUAGAGCUGCCGAGAGAACUCCGAGAGAGCUCCGAGGAAAGCGCAACAGACAGAAAACAGGCUGGAAAGCCAUGUCCAGCAGAGCACAGGCCACCAGCUUGGCCCAUUUGAAUUUGAGUUGUUUGGCCACUUCCAGAAGCCCCUUCCUCAGAACCCCUCUUCAAACCAAGGCUGGUCCUUGGCAGCACACACCGUCAAUUCCUUUAAUCCCAACAGUAGGGAGGCAGAGGAAGGCAGAUCCCCGAUUUUGAGGCCAGAUUGGUUUACAAAUUGAAUUUCAGGACAGUCAAGACUACCCAUAGAAACCCCCCCCCCCUCUCUCUCUCUCACACACACACACACACACACACACACACACACACCCUUCAUUGUCAAGGAAAGUACACUGAACACAACAUUAUUUAUUUCUUUCAAAGCUAGCUUUAGAGACCUAUUCAGUGGGGUCACAGAACGAAUCAAAAGGUCUAAGUGUGGGAAAGAGACCUGUAGGAAGUAGAGAAGUAACAAGGAGGCUGGGAAAGAGAGGAAACGGCAGGGACUGAGAGUAGACAAUGGACAAUAUAAAACUGUCAGAGAACAAGCUUAAGCAAUAAGAGUAAUGUGCAAUGUGCAAGAAAGGAAAGUCAUCUAACCUCCCCUAACUUGUGGUGGCCAGUUUGUCAAUACAAAUUUAUCAUUAUGUAUAGAUUAGUUCUUGAUUUCAGCUAAGAACAGGUGCUUAGCCUUAUAUAUCAGUUUCUGGGAUACAUACAUACAUACACACACAAUGUAUAUCGAUCUACUAUUGAUCAGUAUCUGGAUAAGGAUGUGUGUAGACAGCUUUAAGACAGUAUUGUAUAGCAUGAACAGAGAGUAAAAGAGGAGCUAGGUCCAGAGCCUGGGUAUCUUGGCUAAACAUUAUCCCCAUUUAUUAACUUUAUUAACAUUUAUUAACACUUUAUUAACAUUUCUCACGCACUGUAGAUUCAGAUGGAGCAAUGGCCUAGCCAUAAAAUUAGUCACUAGAUAUAAUUCAUGAAAUAUAAGUUCAUGUAAAGGCAAUGCUGAAAUCUCUAUAGCUUUAUGGCUCAGAUUAUGUGUAUGUGUGUAUUAAGUUCAUUGACAUUCAUCUCCACUGUUAUGAAUUAUGCGUUAAGUGUGGACAUGUGUGUUUCCGUAUGUGUUUUAAGUGUUAGGCAUUAAGUUUACAGUCUCACACACACUACACACAUGCAAUCUACAUCCCUAACAUGAUUUUUCUCAUAGCAAACAUUUAUUUAAAAACUAAGUUUUAUGUUUUAAAAGAAAUUAAAAAUAUACUUAAAAAGAAAGAAUUAGCAUUUUGUAAAUUCUUGUUCAUCUUUUGCCUAUCUGUAUGGAAUUCUCAAAGCACUAACAAAAAGGUUUGCAGUGGAAAAGCAAAGAAAAAAUUUAAUCCAAUCAUAACUUUACUGAUGUCUACACUUUACGUCUAAAAUGUCAUAGAUGAAAGUUUUGCUUUUUCGUUGCAUCCAAGUAGCCACGAUGGUUUAGUAGGAGAGAUUUAAAGACACUGACAAACACUAAGUCAACCAUGCAAUUUGUGGGAAUCUGAGGUGAGCAAAUUGUAUUUUCUGAAGUCUGUUUGUCUAGGUCAGCUGCUUCAGUCAAAGACACAGCAAUUACAUCAUCCACACUUGGACCGUGCGUCCUUCUAAAGAGCUACAGCCAUCAAACAUUAUACUUACAUAAGCCACGUGCAUCCAGGACCUAGAGCUCUGUGGAUGACCCUUCCUGCCUCCUACUCUUACCCACCAAGGUGUGGUUCUGCUGGGAUGGGGCCUGCAUCUUCCAGAGGACCUAGGAAGGGACUCUCCUACAAGUGGAAUUACUUUACUUUAACCACAGUGAGCUGGGUGAUAAUGUGACUCUGUUGGUGUCAUUUUUGCUAAGUUCGUUAUCAUCAAAUCUCUUCCUGGAUUCUAACCAUAUUGCUAGUACCUGCACAGAUAGCCAUCAAGAGCUAUGGAAAUGUGCUUGCUCCACCAACUGGUCAGCUAUAAUAUUUUAUUAGAGAAACAGAAAGAAAAAAAUAUUGUUUACCUAUGGGAAAAGUGAACAGCAAUUACAAAUAAAAAUUGAAGUGAGUUUUAAAAAAAUAAGUCUCAAGAUCUUUUUGGAAGCCCAUAAUUGUGAAAUCAACUAUUAUUUCUGGCUUUUUUUUUUUUUUUAAAAUCAUGUUUUCUUUCCUAUUUCUGAAAUCUCAUAUAUUUACAAGGUUUUAUGCUCUUGUUCCUUGCAUGAGCCAAUAACAUUUUCCAGGGGUGUGAAAUAUUAAAUGAGAACUCAACUCCCAACACAUGCCAAAUAGAUUAACUCUAUCACAGAGCGCCCUCAAACUCCAUUAAUAUGUGCAUUGUCUCCACAUAUAUGCAUACUGGGCCUGACUGACAUCUUUAGCUGUUUCUUUGAGAUUUUCCUGGGCAAGUGCUGUGCUCCAAGCCCUAAAGGGACUCCAGACAGUCAGUCAUCUGUCUCCAUGCUUGCAGAAAGUGUGGGGGAAUCAAGUCAUCUCACAAAGCUUACUGUUAUCGAGUGGAAAUGUCGUUAUUUGCUCAUUCACGGCAUAUCCUGAGCACUUACUGAAUUCCAGUCUCCGAGCAAGCAAGGAACAUUUGCAUCAGAGAAAGAAGGGACAACUGAGGAAGAGAAUACUUUAGUACAGGAUAACCUUUAGCACAGGGUAGCCCGGCUGGGACAAUUUAUUUUGGAAUGCCAUCCACUAAAAUGCUGCUGUUGUGUGAUUGUUUUAAGUGCUGACCCUGCAAAGAAACCAAUUUGUGCCUUUUACAAGCGUUAAAAUCAGAGAACGUGGUGGAGAACAAAACGUGGGGGUGGUAGUUCCGAACACGUAGCCUGCCUAGACCUUUGUCUGGAAAACAGUAUAGAAUCUGGCAAUAUAUCACUUAAAUGGAAUGCGCCAAAUAAUUGCUGUGUUUGAAGAGUCAGAGAGGAGGCAGUCACUAAAGCAGGAAGAUAAACCUGAAUGAACCUAAAAUCAGAAUAAAUACAAAUACCCCAACUCAAAGCAAUUAGGCUCCAAAUCAUAAUGUUUCAUCAUAAUGGGAGAGACUGAGAUGGCGCAAGAGGAUUCCGAAGCUCCGAGUACCUCUGACUCUUUUGUUACCUGAUUUAUCACCCAGGGAACAGCGUCUGCUCACUCCCACACACUGUCUCACCCUCUUGUAUUUGAAGGUGCUGACCGUGACUCAGCCUGCGCCUCGUCUUGCUUUCAAGCCUCCCUACACAAUGCAUGCCAGUACUUCAGGAUUCAGCUUAGCAGCACGAUUCAGGCUGUUUCCAUUUUCCACAUCAUCUUUCCCCACCCGAGGACCAUCACCUGCCCUCGCUUUUGCGGUAGCCGGAUCUGGGUGAAUACAAGGACCACUGAGUGAAUGAUUGCUCUCUCUCUCUCUCUUGCUCCGCUCUGCGGCCUUUCUAACUUCCCACAGGGCACGGCUUGCCUGCCCUCGUUGCUUUUGCACAAGGUCAAAUGUGAAAUAGCCACAUUUCAGGAACUGCUUUUGUAGAAACAGGACACGCAUGGAACCCAUAGCAAAUGCCUCAGAAGCCAGCACCUUGCAGCAGAUAAAGGACGAGUGUAUGUAGAUCCCAUGGCUCCUCUCGAGCCCAUCUUGGUUAUUAGGGGUUCUGUCUAUUCUCCUAGAUGUGAUUGUUACAUACACUCUCUCUCUGUCACUCUGUCUCUGUCUCUGUCUCUGCCUCUCUCUCUCUCUCUCUCUCUCUCUCUCUCUGUCUCUCUCUGUCUCUCUCUCUCUCUCUGUGUGUGUGUGUGUGUAUGUGUGUGUUAAAACAAAAGUGCAGGUUUGAAGGAACUGAAGGAGUUUGCAACCCCAUAAGAACAACAAUGCCAACCAACCAGAGCUCUCAGGGACUAAACCACUACCCAAAGUCUACACACGAACUGACCCACGGCUCCAGCUGCAUAUGUAGCAGAGCAUGACCUUGUUGGGCACCAAUGGGAAGAGAAGCCCUGGUCCUGCCAAGGCUGGACCCCCUCAGUAUAGGGGAAUGCGGGGAUGGUGGGGUGGGGAGAGGGGGUGGUUGGGGAAGGGGAACACCCUUACAGAAGAAUGGAAGGGGGAUGGGAUAGGGGGCUUAUGGCCAGGAAACCGGGAAAGGGAAUAACAUUUGAAAUGUAAAUUAAAAAUAUCCAAUAAAAAAUCAUAAAAAAACAAAAGUGAAAUCACUUUAAAACUUUUUAUUAAGUAUUAUUUGUGUAUUUGUGUAUAUAUAUAGUAUAUAUGUAUAUGCAUGUUUAUGAGUCUGUGCACAUAUGUACAUAUGUGUGUAUAGGCCAGACCACCACAUCAAUGGUCACACCACAUGGUAUAAGUCGGUAUGGUCUAUCUUUCCUGACAGGCUGCUGUUGUAGUAUUCAGGGUCCACCUCUGUGGGAAUCCAUUGGUGACCUUUCUUCCCUGUAAACAAAUCUAGCUCUGGGAGCUGCUUUAGCAGGUAAGGGCAAUCUGGGGAUACAGCUGCACAUAGUGGUGUGUAUCUGUAAUCCCAGCACUGCUUGUGAGAUCCCAGAAGCUCCCAGGCCAGCUAGCCUGAAGUGUGUAAAUUAGCAGUAGAAAACAAGAGUGACCCUACUUCAACGAGGUGGAAAGUAAAAACUGAUUGCCAAAAGCAGUCCUCUGACCCCCACAUGUAACAUCCCCCGACUAAAUAACUAUUUUAAAAGAAAUCAAAUCUGUCUUCCCCAAAGAUAGUAAAAAUAUAUGCUUGGAAUAUCAUUCCAAAAGUGCCAGGUUUGAUUCCUAGCAAAAAAAAAAAAAAAAAAAAAAGAAAGAAGGAAA